CGAGUGAGCGGCAAAAGCUCAAAUUUGAAAUCUGGUACCUUUGGUGCCCGAGUUGUAAUUUGGAGAGUACCACUUUGGGACUGUACUUUGCCUAUGUUCCUUGGAACAGGACGUCAUGGAGGGUGAGAAUCCCGUGUGGCGAGGGUGUCAGUUCUUUGUAAAGGGUGCUCGAAGAGUCGAGUUGUUUGGGAAUGCAGCUCUAAGUGGGUGGUAAAUUCCAUCUAAAGCUAAAUACAGGCGAGAGACCGAUAGCGAACAAGUACAGUGAUGGAAAGAUGAAAAGAACUUUGAAAAGAGAGUGAAAAAGUACGUGAAAUUGUUGAAAGGGAAGGGCAUUUGAUCAGACAUGGUGUUUUGCGCCCCUUGCCUCUCGUGGGCUUGGGACUCUCGCAGCUCACUGGGCCAGCAUCGGUUUUGGCGGCCGGAAAAAACCUAGGGAAUGUGGCUCUGCGCCUCGGUGUAGAGUGUUAUAGCCCUGGGGAAUACGGCCAGCCGGGACCGAGGACUGCGAUACUUGUUAUCUAGGAUGCUGGCAUAAUGGUUAUAUGCCGCCCGUCUUG
rnacentral:rRNA from 1 species